CCUACGGGAGGCUGCAGUGGGGAAUAUUUCGCAAUGGGCGAAAGCCUGACGCAGCGACGCCGCGUGAGGGAUGAAGGUCUUCGGAUCGUAAACCUCUGUCAGCAGGGAAGAACGGUCACUGUGCUAAUCAGCAGGGAAUUGACGGGACCUGCAAAGGAAGCACCGGCUAACUCCGUGCCAGCAGCCGCGGUAAUACGGAGGGUGCGAGCGUUAAUCGGAAUUACUGGGCGUAAAGCGCUCGUAGGCGGUAUGUCAAGUCAAGGGUGAAAUCCCCGCGCUCAACGGGGGAACUGCCUUGGAAACUGGCAACCUGGAGUGUGUGAGAGGAUAGUGGAAUUCCAGGUGUAGGAGUGAAAUCCGUAGAUAUCUGGAGGAACAUCAGUGGCGAAGGCGACUAUCUGGCACAUAACUGACGCUGAGGAGCGAAAGCGUGGGUAGCAAACAGGAUUAGAUACCCUAGUAGUC
rnacentral:rRNA from 1 species